rnacentral:rRNA from 1 species
GAUGAACGCUGGCGGCGUGCCUAAUACAUGCAAGUCGAGCGAACGGACGAGAAGCUUGCUUCUCUGAUGUUAGCGGCGGACGGGUGAGUAACACGUGGAUAACCUACCUAUAAGACUGGGAUAACUUCGGGAAACCGGAGCUAAUACCGGAUAAUAUUUUGAACCGCAUGGUUCAAAAGUGAAAGACGGUCUUGCUGUCACUUAUAGAUGGAUCCGCGCUGCAUUAGCUAGUUGGUAAGGUAACGGCUUACCAAGGCAACGAUGCACAGCCGACCUGAGAGGGUGAUCGGCCACACUGGAACUGAGACACGGUCCAGACUCCUACGGGAGGCAGCAGUAGGGAAUCUUCCGCAAUGGGCGAAAGCCUGACGGAGCAACGCCGCGUGAGUGAUGAAGGUCUUCGGAUCGUAAAACUCUGUUAUUAGGGAAGAACAUAUGUGUAAGUAACUGUGCACAUCUUGACGGUACCUAAUCAGAAAGCCACGGCUAACUACGUGCCAGCAGCCGCGGUAAUACGUAGGUGGCAAGCGUUAUCCGGAAUUAUUGGGCGUAAAGCGCGCGUAGGCGGUUUUUUAAGUCUGAUGUGAAAGCCCACGGCUCAACCGUGGAGGGUCAUUGGAAACUGGAAAACUUGAGUGCAGAAGAGGAAAGUGGAAUUCCAUGUGUAGCGGUGAAAUGCGCAGAGAUAUGGAGGAACACCAGUGGCGAAGGCGACUUUCUGGUCUGUAACUGACGCUGAUGUGCGAAAGCGUGGGGAUCAAACAGGAUUAGAUACCCUGGUAGUCCACGCCGUAAACGAUGAGUGCUAAGUGUUAGGGGGUUUCCUCCCCUUAAUGCUGCAGCUAACGCAUUAAGCACUCCGCCUGGGGAGUACGACCGCAAGGUUGAAACUCAAAGGAAUUGACGGGGACCCGCACAAGCGGUGGAGCAUGUGGUUUAAUUCGAAGCAACGCGAAGAACCUUACCAAAUCUUGACAUCCUUUGACAACUCUAGAGAUAGAGCCUUCCCCUUCGGGGGACAAAGUGACAGGUGGUGCAUGGUUGUCGUCAGCUCGUGUCGUGAGAUGUUGGGUUAAGUCCCGCAACGAGCGCAACCCUUAAGCUUAGUUGCCAUCAUUAAGUUGGGCACUCUAAGUUGACUGCCGGUGACAAACCGGAGGAAGGUGGGGAUGACGUCAAAUCAUCAUGCCCCUUAUGAUUUGGGCUACACACGUGCUACAAUGGACAAUACAAAGGGCAGCGAAACCGCGAGGUCAAGCAAAUCCCAUAAAGUUGUUCUCAGUUCGGAUUGUAGUCUGCAACUCGACUACAUGAAGCUGGAAUCGCUAGUAAUCGUAGAUCAGCAUGCUACGGUGAAUACGUUCCCGGGUCU